rnacentral:rRNA from 1 species
UGGGGAAUUUUGGACAAUGGGGGAAACCCUGAUCCAGCCAUCCCGCGUGUGCGAUGAAGGCCUUCGGGUUGUAAAGCACUUUUGGCAGGAAAGAAAUAGGCCUGGCUAAUACCUGGGCUGAAUGACGGUACCUGCAGAAUAAGCACCGGCUAACUACGUGCCAGCAGCCGCGGUAAUACGUAGGGUGCAAGCGUUAAUCGGAAUUACUGGGCGUAAAGCGUGCGCAGGCGGUUCGGAAAGAAAGGUGUGAAAUCCCAGGGCUUAACCUUGGAACUGCACUUUUAACUACCGGGCUAGAGUGUGUCAGAGGGAGGUGGAAUUCCGCGUGUAGCAGUGAAAUGCGUAGAGAUGCGGAGGAACACCGAUGGCGAAGGCAGCCUCCUGGGAUAACACUGACGCUCAUGCACGAAAGCGUGGGGAGCAAACAGGAUUAGAUACCC